rnacentral:rRNA from 1 species
AACGAACGCUGGCGGCAGGCUUAACACAUGCAAGUCGAGCGAGACCUUCGGGUCUAGCGGCGGACGGGUGAGUAACGCGUGGGAACGUGCCCUUCUCUACGGAAUAGCCCCGGGAAACUGGGAGUAAUACCGUAUACGCCCUCUGGGGGAAAGAUUUAUCGGAGAAGGAUCGGCCCGCGUUGGCUAAGGUAGUUGGUGGGGUAAUGGCCCACCAAGCCGAGGAUCCAUAGCUGGUUUGAGAGGAUGAUCAGCCACACUGGGACUGAGACACGGCCCAGAAUCCUGCGGGAGGCAGGAGUGGGGGAUCUUGGAAAGUGGGGGCAACCCUGAUCGAGCCAUGCCGGGUAAGUGAUGAAGGCCUUAGGGUUGUAAAGCUCUUUCAGCUGGGAAGAUAAUGACGGUACCGGCAGAAGAAGCCCCGGCUAACUCCGUG